CUUAAUGUUACAAUUUUUUGUUUCUUUAAUGUAGAAGAUAAUUUCAAGAAAAGGGAGUAAGAAUCUGCUGCCUGUUGCCUGGAAACCUGAUCUUCCACUUCAUGGAAAACAGCAUUAUUGGAAUGGAUAUCAUUGUGUGGAUAUUUCUGUAUUUUGUAGGGUCUUUGUCUCAUUGACUCCUUAAAAGGCAGAAAGAAGAUGAAGCCCACGCCCACACGGUUUGAAAAACUUGCUGCUACCUAUUUUUUUCAAAUUAAUCUAGACUUUCUUUCCCUGUCUGUCCACUUUCCUGGUUAUACACAGCAAGGAUAUUACUCCACCAUGAUUAAAUAACCUAGCAAAGCACUCAUAUGAAUCCAAAUUUAAGGAAAGAAAUAAAAGUAAUCCUAGUAUAUUUUAAUAUCGAUAUAUCAAAUUACGUAUUUAAUCUCUGUAAUUUACCAAAAUAUAAGAUUUAAUUCUUAUACAAGAAUUCAUAAAAAUCGAAUCUUUUUAAUUUUUAAAGUCGAUAAUAUCAAUCUAACAAUGAUAUUAAAAUUUUUCUGGUGUUUGAUUAGAUUGACGUGACAUUUUAUCUUUUACAUAUCUUUAAUUUAAUUUUAAAAUUUUUUUUCUCUCUCAUGCAAUUUCUGGGAAUUAAAGCAACUUAAUUGGAAUUUACUAUGUAUUAAACAAAGCUGAAGUAAAGUCAAGCCAGAAUUUAUGUAUAUAAAAAGGCCCAAAUGAUAAAAAAACCUUGAACAAAUGAUAAACCCUAUUGGAGAGAUUACGGAGAAUUUACAUUUGAAGAGUACAUCAUCAUCUAUUUGGUCAUGGAGUGACGUCAUUAAGACAAUGCGCAGAUCAAUGCUUACCUGCUAAAUCUAAACUGGAAAUAUAGAAAUAUUGGGUUUUGCUGGAGAUUGUCCAGACAUGACUUAAUUGACCAAAAUGGAGGGUAUUAUAAUAUCCCAUUGAGCCAAAAACUCUAUUCACCGACUGUUUUGCUUACUUCCUAAGCCUACUUGGUUUAAUUCACCACCUCCGAUGAGAUUUCAACAAAUAUAUACAUGUGUAUAUAAUCAAAUGAACCAAAAUUGCAACCAUAAAGCAAUAGCAUGACCAUGACCAAGGGCUUCACACUCUAGUGAUUUAAGUUUCAUCAUACUCGAUAGCAAUCUUUGGUAAUUUCAUUGUGGUCAAUCUUCUAGAACAAGUAAUAUUGAAAAGCAAAAAAAGAAAUUUGAAGUGGAGAUCAGCUGCUGGCAAUCUUUUUAUCUUCAAUUUUCCUUCGUGAAAAGGCAAAAUUGAAUGACAAAAAAGUCUGGUUUAUCUAUCGAAUGAAUGCGACUGGAGAUGUCGGCAAAUUACCUUCAGAUUCACACAAAUGUAGAAGGAGAAAGACAAAUGGUACAAUGGGGUUGGAAAAGGAAAUUUGACCCGACUCAACUCAACCUAAACUUAAUAGAAAAAAUCCUUAGUCACAAUGUGAACAGAUUUGGAUGCUUGGGCAGCCCGAAGAUGAAAGAUCAAGCCGUCUAACUGUCAAAUGCGGCCAAAGAAUAUGUGAUCGACACAUGAAGUUGCGUGUGAGAUUAGAAUUGUCAUGGUCAUCCCACAAAAUUAAAAGCCCUGUUAUUGUCAAUCACCUACUAUGGUCUACUGAUUUGUUUCGACACUGGAGAUCAGCAGGUUUAGUUUACCCAGGAAAAAAUCGUGUCAUUCUUAUAAAGAUUGGUAGGAAAAUAAAAUAACAAAUUCUGAGUUUUGUUUCGAUUAGGCAAAUGUUUGUUAGAAUACUUUAUCGUACACUAGUCCAUCUAGACUCUAGAGUCUUGUUGUUUCUUUCCUCGUAUUUGGAUUUCGGACCCUACAACAACUGCUUUAUACUUCUGUAUACUUUCACCAUGAUUAAAAUAAGAAUCUGAGUUUUGUUUAGACUAUGAAAAUGUUUAUUGGAAUAUCUUAUCCUACAUGUAUCCAUCUAGACUUUAGAGUCUUCUUGUUUCCAUCCUUAUAGUUAGAUUUUGAACCUGCAAGAACUACUUUAUACUUUGUAUUUACUUUCACAGAGAUUAAACAAAAAAUUUGGGUUUUGUUUAGAUUAUGAAAAUGUUUGUUAAAAUACUUUGCCUUACACGUAUCCAUCUUGACUCUAGAGUCUCGCUAUUAUCUUCCUUAUAUGUGGAUUUCGGACACUGCAACAAAAUACUUUCUGUUUACAUUUAGAGAGAUUAAAACAAAAAUUUGAGUUUUGUUUACAUCAUAAUAUGUUAGUUAGAUUACCUUAUCUCACACGUAUCCAUUUAAACUCUAAAACUUGUUGUUUCUUUCUUUGUAUUUGGAUUUCGCAACAAAAUACUUUCUGUUUACAUUUACAGAGAUUAAAACAAAAAUUUGAGUUUUGUUUAAAUUAUAAGAUAUACAUUAGUUAGAUUACCCUAUCUUACACGUAUUCAUCUAAACUCUAGAAUUUUGUUGUUUCCUUCUUUGUAUAUGGAUUUCGCAACAAAAUACUUUCUGUUUACAUUUACAGCGAUUAAAACAAAAAUAUGAGUUUUGUUUAGAUCAUAAGAUAUACGUUAGUUAAAUUACCCUAUCUUACACGCAUCCAUCUAAAUUCUAGAAUUUUGUUGUUUCCUUUCUUGUAGUUGGACUUUAACAAAAUACUUUUUGUUUACAUUCACGGAGAUUAAAAUAAAAAUGUGAGUUUUGUUUAUAUUAUAAUAUGUUAAUUAGAUUACCUUACCUCACACGUAUUCAUUUAAGCUCUAUAAUAUUGUUCUUACCUUCCUUGACUUUGGAUUUCGGACCUUGCAACAACUGUUUUAUACUUUCUGUUUACUUUUCACGGAAAUUAAAACAAGAACACUAAAAAUUAAACUUAAAGUAUUUUAUUUUAAUAUGAAAACAGAAAGGAAAAGAAUCUACCACUUGAGGGCACAGAAAGUGCUGGUGAGAUAAGCAAUAUGAGAUCAUCGAUUGCGCAUCUUUUACCAUAAUGGCUUGUGACCUCACAAACCAAUUUCCUGUGAAACAAGUGGUUUUCUGGCUGCUCCGAUGAAAGAUGCUGCACAGAUGAAUUAAAGUCUUGACCUGUGAUCAACCACAAAUCUCCAGCACGUACAUGAGGGUUCUAAUUUGCUUUUUUGUGGCCGUCCACAUCCAUCUGUGUCUCUCUCUUGACUCUUGGUGGGUGUUAUACAGCGUUUAACACGAAGCCAUGCUUUUUGAAUUGGACGUUUUGAAGAUUUGGCAAUUUUCCAAGACUCCCUUUCAUCAUUUAUUGCACAUGGCCCCUUGCUAUCCGACUUAUUCAAUUCCCA
rnacentral:lncRNA from 1 species